rnacentral:rRNA from 1 species
UACGUAGGGUGCAAGCGUUGUCCGGAAUUAUUGGGCGUAAAGAGCUCGUAGGCGGUUUGUCGCGUCUGCUGUGAAAACUCGGGGCUUAACCCCGGGCCUGCAGUGGGUACGGGCAGACUAGAGUGCGGUAGGGGAGACUGGAAUUCCUGGUGUAGCGGUGAAAUGCGCAGAUAUCAGGAGGAACACCGGUGGCGAAGGCGCACAUCUGGCCCGAUACUGACGCUGAGGCGCGAAAGCUAGGGGAGCAAACGGG